GUACUCGCUUCGGCGGUACAUAUACUAAAAUUGGAACGAUACAGAGAUGAUUAGCAUGGCCCCUGCGCAAGGAUGACACGCAAAAUCGUGAAGCGUUCCACAUUUUU
rnacentral:snRNA from 1 species